rnacentral:rRNA from 1 species
GCGGCCUAUCAGCUUGUUGGUGGGGUGAUGGCCUACCAAGGCGACGACGGGUAGCCGGCCUGAGAGGGUGACCGGCCACACUGGGACUGAGAUACGGCCCAGACUCCUACGGGAGGCAGCAGUGGGGAAUAUUGCACAAUGGGCGCAAGCCUGAUGCAGCGACGCCGCGUGAGGGAUGACGGCCUUCGGGUUGUAAACCUCUUCCAGCACCGACGAAUUUUUUUUGACGGUA